GACGAACGCUGGCGGCGUGCUUAACACAUGCAAGUCGAACGAUGAAGCCGGAGCUUGCUCUGGUGAAUUAGUGGCGAACGGGUGAGUAACACGUGAGUAACCUGCCCUUGACUCUGGGAUAACUGCUAGAAAUGGUAGCUAAUACCGGAUACGACCCUCGGCGGCAUCGCCAGGGGGUGGAAAGAAUUUCGGUCAAGGAUGGACUCGCGGCCUAUCAGCUAGUUGGUGAGGUAACGGCUCACCAAGGCGACGACGGGUAGCCGGCCUGAGAGGGUGACCGGCCACACUGGGACCGAGACAGGGCCCAGACUCCACCGGGAGGCAGCAGUGGGGAAUAUUGCGCAAUAGGCGCAUGCCUGAUGCAGCAACGCCGCGUGUGGGAUGACGGCCUUCGGGUUGUAAACCUCUUUUAGUAGGGAAGGAGCGAAAGUGACGGUACCUGCAGAAAAAGCACCGGCUAACUACGUGCCAGCCGCCGCCGUAA
rnacentral:rRNA from 1 species